rnacentral:rRNA from 1 species
AUUGAACGCUGGCGGCGAUGCCUUACACAUGCAAGUCGAACGGUAACAGGUCUUCGGAUGCUGACGAGUGGCGAACGGGUGAGUAAUAUAUCGGAACGUGCCCAGUCGUGGGGGAUAACGCAGCGAAAGCUGUGCUAAUACCGCAUACGAUCUAUGGAUGAAAGCGGGGGAUCGCAAGACCUCGCGCGAUUGGAGCGGCCGAUAUCAGAUUAGGUAGUUGGUGGGGUAAAGGCCCACCAAGCCAACGAUCUGUAGCUGGUCUGAGAGGACGACCAGCCACACUGGAACUGAGACACGGUCCAGACUCCUACGGGAGGCAGCAGUGGGGAAUUUUGGACAAUGGGCGCAAGCCUGAUCCAGCAAUGCCGCGUGCAGGAUGAAGGCCUUCGGGUUGUAAACUGCUUUUGUACGGAACGAAAAGGCUCUGGUUAAUACCUGGGGCUCAUGACGGUACCGUAAGAAUAAGCACCGGCUAACUACGUG